GACGAACGCUGGCGGCGUGCUUAACACAUGCAAGUCGAACGAUGAAGCCAGAGCUUGCUCUGGUGGAUUAGUGGCGAACGGGUGAGUAACGCGUGGAUAAUCUACCCUUAAGUUUGGAAUAACUCAUCGAAAGGUGGGCUAAUACCGAAUGAUACUGCACAACUACUGUUGUACAGUCAAAGAAGGCCUCUGUUUACAAGCUUUCGCUGAAGGAUGAGUCCGCGUACCAUUAGCUAGUUGGUAGGGUAAUAGCCUACCAAGGCGACGAUGGUUAGCUGGUCUGAGAGGAUGAUCAGCCACACUGGAACUGAGACACGGUCCAGACUCCUACGGGAGGCAG
rnacentral:rRNA from 1 species